rnacentral:rRNA from 1 species
GAUGAACGCUGGCGGCGUGCCUAAUACAUGCAAGUCGAGCGAACGGACGAGAAGCUUGCUUCUCUGAUGUUAGCGGCGGACGGGUGAGUAACACGUGGAUAACCUACCUAUAAGACUGGGAUAACUUCGGGAAACCGUAGCUAAUACCGGAUAAUAUUUUGAACCGCAUGGUUCAAAAGUGAAAGACGGUCUUGCUGUCACUUAUAGAUGGAUCCGCGCUGCAUGAGCUAGUUGGGAAGGUAACGGCUUACCAAGGCAACGAUGCAUAGCCGGCCUGAGAGGGUGAUCGGCCACACUAGAAGUGAGACACGGUCAAGACUCCUACGGGAGGCCGCAGUAGGGAAUGUUCCGCAAUGGGCGAAAGCCUGACGGAGCAACGCCGCGUGAGUGAUGACGGCCUUCGGAUCGUAAAACUCUGUUAUUAGGGAAGAACAUAUGUGUAAGUAACUGUGCACAUAUUGACGGUACCUAAUCAGAAAGCCACGGCUAACUACGUG